AUUGAACGCUGGCGGCAGGCCUAACACAUGCAAGUCGAGCGAGCGGCGGACGGGUGAGUACUGUCUGGGAAACUGCCUGAUGGAGGGGGAUAACUAAUGGAAACGGUAGCUAAUACCGCAUACCAUCAGAUGUGCCCAGAUGGGAUUAGCCAGUAGGUGGGGUAACGGCUCACCUAGGCGACGAUCCCUAGCUGGUCUGAGAGGAUGACCAGCCACACUGGAACGGAGACACGGUCCAGACCCCUACGGGAGGCAGCAGUGGGGAAUAGUGCACCAUGGGCGCAAGCCGGAUGCAGCCAUGCCGCGUGUGUGAAGAAGGCCUUCGGGUUGUAAAGCACUUUCAGCGGGGAGGCGUUACCCGCAGAAGAAGCACCGGCUAACUCCGUGCCAGCAGCCGCGGUAAUAC
rnacentral:rRNA from 1 species